rnacentral:lncRNA from 1 species
CGGCAGCCCCAUUCGAUCAGCAGCUUACAUGCGCACCAGCAGCUCACGCUGCUACUCCAGCUCGUGCCACACUGACCCUUACGCACUUGCUCACACGUGCCUCCAGCACUAGCAGCUCAUCAGGCCUGGUCGACGCACCUGCUUUUUGCCCACUUCCCCGCAUCCGCGCAGCACACGCAUGUCCUGUUGCUCGUGCAAGGAUCACCUGACAGUGUCG